GUCUACGGCCAUGCCACCCUGAACAAGCCCAAUCCUGUCCAAUCUCGGAAGCUAAGCAGGGUCGGGCCUGGUUAAUACUUGGAUGGGGGACCACCCAGGAAGACCAGAUACUGUAGGCG
rnacentral:rRNA from 1 species